UGCCAGACUCCUACGGGAGGCAGCAGUGGGGAAUAUUGCACAAUGGGGGAAACCCUGAUGCAGCGACGCCGCGUGAGUGAAGAAGUAUUUCGGUAUGUAAAGCUCUCUCAGCAGGAAAGAAAAUGACGGUACCUGACUAAGAAGCCCCGGCUAACUACGUGCCAGCAGCCGCGGUAAUACGUAGGGGGCAAGCGUUAUCCGGAUUCACUGGGUGUAAAGGGAGCGUAGACGGCGACGCAAGUCUGGAGUGAAAGCCCGGGGCCCAACCCCGGGACUGCACUGGAAACUGCCGGGCUGGAGGGUCGGAGGGGCAGGCGGAAUUCCUAGUGUAGCGGUGAAAUGCGUAGAUAUUAGGAGGAACACCGGUGGCGAAGGCGGCCUGCUGGACGACGACUGACGCUGAGGCUCGAAAGCGUGGGGAGCAAACAGGAUUAGAUCCCCUCGUA
rnacentral:rRNA from 1 species